AGAGUUUGAUCCUGGCUCAGGAUGAACGUUGGCGGUGUGCCUAAUACAUGCAAGUCGAACGGAGAUUGUAGCAAUACGGUCUCAGUGGCGAACGGGUGAGUAACGCGUUGGUGAUCUGCCUCGAAGUGGGGAAUAACGAUUCGAAAGAAUCGCUAAUACCGCAUAGUCUCUCGGUGUUUAGAAAGCUGAGAGUAAAGGAUUUAUUCGCUUUGAGAGGAGCCUGCGUCCCAUCAGCUAGUUGGUAAGGUAAUGGCCUACCAAGGCGAUGACGGGUAGGGGACCUGAGAGGGUGGCCCCCCACAAUGGAACUGAAACACGGUCCAUACACCUACGGGUGGCAGCAGUAGGGAAUAUUAGAAAUGGACGAAAGUCUGAUCUAGCAACACCGCGUGUGCGAUGAAGGCCUUCGGGUUGUAAAGCACUUUUUGGAAGGAUUAGGAAGGAAUGUACUUCCAGAAUAAGUCUCGGCUAACUACGUGCCAGCAGCCGCGGUAACACGUAGGAGGCGAACGUUAUCCGGAUUUACUGGGCGUAAAGCGCGUGUAGGUGGUUCUGUAAGUAGGGCGUGAAAGCUCCCUGGCUCAACUGGGAGAGGCCGUUCUAAACUGCAGAGCUAGAGGAUGGUAGAGGGAGGUGGAAUUCCGGGUGUAGCGGUGGGAAUGCGCAGAUAUCCCGGAGGAACACCAGUGGCGAAGGCGGCCUCCCUGGACCAUUCCUGACACUCAGACGCGAAAGCUAGGGGUAGCAAACGGGAUUAGAGACCCCCGGGUAGUCCCUAGCCCUAAACGAUGUAGACUUGGCGUUCGGUGGCUUAAUCGUCAUCGGGUGGUCUAAGCUUAACGCGAUUAAG
rnacentral:rRNA from 1 species